GAGGUGCUUAGAGAAAUGGUCUAGUAUGGCAUGCAACAAUAGCUUAGAUGUGGGCUGAAUUCAACUCAAGUGAUGCACGGCCUGCACGCGUGCUGGAGGAGGUAAUAGCAACGUUGAUUAUAGGUCAUCAUCCUCGUAAAAAAGGGGGCCCCAACAGUACGAGGAGAGGUCACGCAACCCUAGGAGAGGAGAUUCUGAGUCCAGCCGCCACCUUCAUGAGAGUUUUCUUAGAGCAUUUUUUUUAAUUUGUAGAAAUGGGUAGGAUGCUGAUACGGGAUUUUGGAUGAAACUGUAGAAGCAUUUUGCUUGUUCCAUAGGCUAACACACAACUAUUUACUUCUUGGAGAUUAACGAUUUCUUUCAAUUGGAAAAGAGCACCGUUGGCACGUCAUUGGGAGUUAAUUAAAAGUCUUUGGUUUUAUCUUCAUGAACCCGAAUUUCAGUUUUAUAUUCUAU
rnacentral:lncRNA from 1 species